rnacentral:rRNA from 1 species
UACGUAGGGGCCUAGCGUUGUCCGGAUUUAUUGGGCGUAAAGAGCUCGUAGGCGGUUCGGUAAGUCAGGUGUGAAAUCUCCACGCUCAACGUGGAGGCGCCACCUGAAACUGCCGUGACUCGAGUCCGGUAGGGGAGUGUGGAAUUCCCGGUGUAGCGGUGAAAUGCGCAGAUAUCGGGAGGAACACCAGUGGCGAAGGCGGCACUCUGGGCCGGUACUGACGCUGAGGAGCGAAAGCGUGGGGAGCGAACAGGAUUAGAUACCCUGGUAGUCCACGCCGUAAACGUUGGGCACUAGGUGUGGGACUCUAUCGACGGGUUCCGUGCCGUAGCUAACGCAUUAAGUGCCCCGCCUGGGGAGUACGGCCGCAAGGCUAAA